GACGAACGCUGGCGGCGUGCUUAACACAUGCAAGUCGAACGGAAAGGCCCUGCUUUUGUGGGGUGCUCGAGUGGCGAACGGGUGAGUAACACGUAAGUAACCUGCCCUUGACUUUGGGAUAACUUCAGGAAACUGGGGCUAAUACCGGAUAGGAGCUCCUGCUGCAUGGUGGGGGUUGGAAAGUUUCGGCGGUUGGGGAUGGACUCGCGGCUUAUCAGCUUGUUGGUGGGGUAGUGGCUUACCAAGGCUUUGACGGGUAGCCGGCCUGAGAGGGUGACCGGCCACAUGGGGACUGAGAUACGGCCCAGACUCCUACGGGAGGCAGCAGUGGGGAAUAUGGCACAAUGGGCGGAAGCCUGAUGCAGAAACGCCGCGUGCGGGAUGACGGCCUUCGGGUGGUAAACCGCUUUCGCCGGUGACGAAGCGUGAGUGACGGUAAUGGGUAAAGAAGCACCGGCUAACUACGUG
rnacentral:rRNA from 1 species